rnacentral:rRNA from 1 species
UACGUAGGGGGCAAGCGUUGUCCGGAAUCAUUGGGCGUAAAGCGCGCGUAGGCGGCUCGAUCAGUCUGCUGUAAAAGUCAAAGGCUCAACCUUUGAAUGCCGGUGGAUACUGUCGAGCUAGAGUCCGGAAGAGGCGAGUGGAAUUCCUGGUGUAGCGGUGGAAUGCGCAGAUAUCAGGAGGAACACCAACGGCGAAGGCAGCUCGCUGGGACGGUACUGACGCUGAGGCGCGAAAGCGUGGGGAGCAAACAGG